AAAAAUUAGAAUUGAAGAUUAGGGCUGACGUAAUGAAGCGGCUGUGAAGGCUAUUUAUUUUGAUGGUAUGUGGAUGUAGAAACAAGAGAACACUACAGAAAGUUAGAUGAGAUGGGAUCUGAAGAGAGUGUUUCGGGUUUUGCAUCUGUUGGAGGAGAAGGAGACGAUGUGGCUAUGCGACUUGUCCUCCUCACCUGAUAUCAAAUUGAAGACCGCCUUGCCUACCUUCUCACUGCAUCCCUUUCGAAUGAAAAUAGGGUUUUCCUAUUUUCAUUUUUAAAAUAGGCAUUGCAUUGCAUUGCAUUUUCGAUGCAUCUUCCAAUUUCAAUGCCUAUUUUAAAAUGAAAACAACAAUACACUGUUUUCGUUUGAAACUGUUGUGAAGGAAGAUAAAGUUGACGAGUUCUUCCAUUUGAUUUCAGCUGAAGAGGACCUUUAUAUCACCAACACCUUCUGCUCUCUUGCUUUGUCUGGGGAACCUGGGAAAACGGAUUUCUAGAUUUUUUUCCCCCCCUCUUUUAAUCCACCCUCCUCUAUGUACCCAACUUCAGAUUAUACUUUUAUUUAAAAUAUGUUUGUACUCAACUACUAUCUUCUAAUAAUGUAAAUCAAUGGUAAGUCGUACUCCAAGGACCUGCUGUGUUAUCACAUUUGUGGAUUUGUGGAUUUGGUUAGAAAGUAAGAAGAAGGAAAGAAAAUAAAAGUGAAAGAAAUAUAUAGUAAGGAGAGGUUAAA